CGCGUAGUUAUCGUUUUCCCGGGGGCCUUUCAUCGAACCUGCACUGACGCCGCAGGGAAUCCCUUGCAGUGGGAUCCGGUGGACCAGUGAUAAACGUUACCCGGUGGUAUCGCAUUUCCAUGGGCCGAAACAGGAGUGUUUCCCGUUGGAAGCAAAGGAGGUGCAGUGGUGCAGUGAUGGCGGGGCUUGACAGGACGGAAAGUUUGGUGGGGAUGGUGGCUGUUCGUGUUCCGGAGAAGUUGGCGAAUUUUCGAGCAAAGCAACGGAAGCUUCUGUAAGGGCAUAGUAGUGUUUCCAGCGGGGGAGCUGCAGGUGAAACGAACCGCAAUGUCAUUGCACGAAGCAAGGACGUGAAGCCAAUGCAGGAGCAGUUAACCCAGAACUUGUUCGAUCACAUCCUGAGGUGACAUCGACGGGAAUCUUUCCGAUGAAAUAGAAUUAGAUUGGUCUCUGCGGGAAUAUAUAUAUAGCAUUGUUUGACUCAUUUAUACCAAACUCUUGGUGAAGCUUGUUACUGAAAUUGAAUUAUUGUUAUGUAUUUGGCCACUUUGCUAGGUCUUCUUAUAUAAGUUCGCUCUUUCAGCCUGGAAAGCAUGCAUGCUGUUGAGUCCAAUUUAAAAGUUUUCUCAUGAGACAACUAUUAAAUUUGACUCAAUUGUAUGGUUGUUCUCCAAGCUGCAGUUUAUUUAAUGUCUAGAAGUGCUAGAAUAAUGGUUAGGCACGCUGUAAUGCUACUUUUGUACCUCAUCACCCACUAAAUGCAACUACAUUAGUGGUCUAAUAACACUUAGCGCGCUUCGGCACGGUUCCAUCAUGCCGCUUAUAGUGUUGCCACAUAUAAUGCUUAGUUUGCUAAACCCAGUUAUCUGGCUGGUGGGACAUGGGAGCCCAAGCUUCAACCAUUAAUGCAAUUAGACGUUUCUUGAACAAUAAAAUGAGCGAUUCGAGUAUUUGAAGAACUAUUCAAACUACAUAGAAGCUUGUGUAUAGUCAACAUUUAACGAACUUAAUCUAUGCAAUAUUUUGCAUUUUAACGCUUCGAACGAUCUUCAAGUAUAGGUUCAAGUUGUAGUAUAUCGAGUAUAUUUAAGAGCUAGAAUAAUGGUGAGGCACGCUGUAAUGCUACUUUUGUACCUCAUCACCCACUAAAUGCAACUACAUUAGUGGUCUAAUAACACUAGCGCGCUUCGGCACGGUUCCAACAUGCCGCUUAUAGUGUUGCCACAUAUAAUGCUAAGUCUGCUAAACCCAGUUAUCUGGCCAGUGGGGCAUGGGAGCCUAAGCUUCAAUCAUUAAUGUAAUUAAACAUUACUCGAUUUACGACAUGAUUGAUCCAAAUAUUAGAUAAUUGUUCGAUCUGUGUUUUUGAAAUGUAGCCUAACAUAUACAAGCUUCUAGACCAAAUGCAUAAUGAUAGUUUAGUGUCGCUUCGUUCAGGAUUUGUUCAAGCAGUUCAAGAAUUUCCUGAUUUACAAUAGAAAACAAUUUCCAAACCAUUGGAUUUGAUGUAAAAAUAUUAUAUUCUGUAUCACAAUAGAAAAUAAUUCCAAAACAAUUGAAUCUAACGUGGAACCAGUAAUAAAAUCACUACUAAUACAAUAGGUUUACCGUACAUUUCACUGUUAAGAACAAUAUAAAAACAUAAAAAUCUUCUGUAUUACAGUAGAAAACAAUUCCCAAACCAUUGAA